rnacentral:lncRNA from 1 species
UCUGAGUUUCACUUUUCAGAAAGUAGGAAAUAAUACUGUCUCAGGUUUUAAGCAUAAAUGAAUAAAUUAUCUAAGACACCUGUCACAGUCCUUGGCAUUUAACCCAUGUACAAUAAAAAAUAUUGUAGGACUAUCUCAGAAAAUCUCUCAAGAGGUCAUACAAAUUUAGCUGAAUCCACAUACUUCUAUUAUAGCAUAUUAUAGUUGAUGUAUUAUAUGUAAUACAUACAUAUAUAGAGAUAACCUAUGAUAGCAACUAGGAAAAUACAUCUUCUCUGUAUGUACUUCCUUAUUUAGAAUGGCUUCGAUGCCUCCUGGAC